UACGAAGGGGGCUAGCGUUGCUCGGAAUUACUGGGCGUAAAGCGCGUGUAGGCGGCUUCGCAAGUCGGAUGUGAAAUCCCACGGCUCAACCGUGGAAGUGCAUUCGAAACUGCAAGGCUAGAGUUCUGGAGAGGAAGGUGGAAUGCUUGGUGUAGAGGUGAAAUUCGUAGAUAUCAAGCGGAACACCGGUGGCGAAGGCGGCCUUCUGGACAGUAACUGACGCUGAGACGCGAAAGCGUGGGGAGCAAACAGG
rnacentral:rRNA from 1 species